GCUGAAGUCCAAGAACAUCUGGAGGGCCAAGGUUGGGGACCACUGCCCUACAGUGAUUAGGACAGCAGCUUUGCUUGCCAUAAAACUUAUGUAGGUAGAACAUUGGGAGGUGGGGGGUGGAGCUGGCCCAAUUCCAUCAGCCACCCAAUCUCUGACCCUCAAAUUGCACUGUAAAUGAUCAGGCACAUAUGUCUGAAGGCGCCCUAAAUCAGACCUUAAAUCAAACAUGUGGUUUGCUCCAACACUCUUGCACAGGAAGAGUAUAUUAAUCCAUUCAUCAGCUUCCUUCCUUCUAGCUUGAAAAGAUACCAAACUCUCUGGGCAGCUUCUGAUAAUCAAAAUUCAGUCAUUUAUGGGCAGACGGCGCUGUGUGAGCAAGGGUCCUGUUUGAUAACAAAUUUAGCAGACCUCGGGGGGGGUGUUCUCAGGUUGCAUAUAUCAGUGCACAAGUGAGGAAUUAGUUAACGGUUGCAAAAUAUAUUUGUGUAUUUGGUCACUUCCUGAGCUACAAAGUGGUGCCAAAAGAUCUGACUUCUAACUAACUGCCCGACACAUGUGGUUUCUGCAUGCUAUGAAUUACACACACCCAAACAGGCUCUCCCCCCACCACACACAGGUGAAUACUAGUUGGAAAAGGGAAGGUCUUGGGAAGAAUAUACAACUCUGGAAUCAUCUGCAAAGUGAUCUUCCUCUUCAAGAUACAUAGGAGUGGAACUGCCUCUUACAGAGAGCACCUUGUUUGAAGAAGGAAUUCCUUAAGUGCUGAAAGCAUUUGAAAUCUCGUGUGAUGCAGAAAUUAUAUGAUGAAUUAAUUUUUGCUUCAUUUUGUGAUCGGUCUUUGGGAGGUAAAUAUGGGCUUUGCAAAUACGAUUUCUGAGACAGAAAUUUCUGUAGAAUCAUGGACUUUGAACACUAACAUGAUUUCAAGCUGUCAGCGAUGUGUUAUCUGCAAAAUAUCAUUUGGCUUCAGUGGCAAAGUUUAGCGUUUAAACAGGAAUAUUCCUACAUACUGUAUAUCUGAAGUAUGGAGAAACAGGAAGUGGUAGCUUUGGCGGCUUCUCCCUCUCGUAUCCUGAAACCCUGCUUCUGCCAUUCUAUGUUUGUAUCUAAGAUCACCUUGCAAUCUUAGGCUGCAGGUCUAAUGCUGAGUGUGGUGGGUGGGUGAUGAGGCUGAAGUGCCCAGCUGGCAGGGGAGAGAAGCUCUGCCAUCAAGGAGGUGGCACAGCCUCUGCAGAGGCCCCAGUUACAUCUUUAUGAUGGCAGAAAGCUCCUGCUUUGGUGUUUCUGCCCAACAGCAGGCCCUCUCGUGUCUCUCGGAGACAGUCUUGAACCCACUGAGGGAAUGGAGUAGGUCUAUCAAUUAUGCCAGUCUGUAGCUUGUGUCGUUAAUUGUUUUCCCGUUGGUUUUUGUGGUGGCGGUGAAAAUGAUUCAAAACAAAGAUAUACUACUGUUGAUUUUAGAGCUUCACAGCUUCCUGCUACCCUCUGCAAAAACUGAAAGGGCCUUUGGGAGUGGUGGAGUCUCUGUCAGUUUAUCUCCCCAGAGCACCACAAAGCUCUCUUAGGAUCUUUUUGUCCACCGUUUCCUUUUAAAGCUCAAAAUCCUAAAUCUUUAGCUGCUUUUUAAAAUUCCUGUUCUCAGUAAGGUUUGACAUUUAGGCUAUAAUUACACUGGA
rnacentral:lncRNA from 1 species